UUUCGCCUAAUUAGAUUAAAUUUUGUGUUUUUUGUAUUUUUCUGAAUUUAUUUUGAUCAUAUUUAUUCUUUCUUUUUUGUUUCUGCCUACUAGGUCUGGUUGUUCUGAUCUUUUUUAUUUUGAUCCUGAGAUAGAGAGAGCCUUGCAUGCACGUUGUAGAGCAAAUCAGGCUAGCACUAGUUCACCACCCGUUAGCGAUUC
rnacentral:lncRNA from 1 species